UACGGAGGGUGCGAGCGUUGUCCGGAAUCACUGGGCGUAAAGGGCGCGUAGGCGGCCUGAUAAGUAGGGGGUGAAAUCCUGCGGCUUAACCGCAGGGCUGCCUUCUAAACUGUCAGGCUUGAGCACAGUAGAGGCAGGUGGAAUUCCCGGUGUAGAGGUGAAAUUCGUAGAUAUUGGGAAGAACACCAGUGGCGAAGGCGGCUCACUGGCCCGUAACUGACGCUGAGGUGCGAAAGCGUGGGGAGCAAACAGG
rnacentral:rRNA from 1 species